rnacentral:lncRNA from 1 species
CCCGGAAGCUACAGAGAUGGAGAGAGAGAGGAACAGAACAAACAACGCGCUCAUCCAUAACAUCUAAGUAUAAAUAUUGCUUAUGUUAAAUAUGAACACUUGUCUGUUUAUUUCUUUAUACCCUAACCGGUUACUGACGUAAGUGUGAAAUGUAACCAUGGUUGACAGAGGAAGAACAAUGAUUCCAAGCACCACCCUCCUUUUGAAGCUUCCAGUCUGUUAUUCGAACUCAAUCAGCAUGACAGAGUGAUCUCCAGCCUUGUCCUCAUCAACACUCACACCUGUGUUAACGAGAGAAUCACUGACAUGAUGUCAGCUGGUCCUUUUGUGGCAAUGGAAAUGUUUUUUGGGGGAGUCAGUUCAUUUGCAUGGCAAAGAGUGAUUUUGCAAUUAAUUGCAAUUCAUCUGAUCACUCUUUAUAACAUUCUGGAGUAUAUGCAAAUUGCCAUCAUACAAACUGAGGCAGCAGACUUUGUGAAAAUUAAUAUUCGUGUCAUUCUCAAAACUUUUGGCCACGACUGUACACUGCCCUCACCCACCUAGAUAAGAGUAAUAUCUAUGCGAGAAUGCUGUUCACCAAGCUGGGACUAAAACACCUCCCUCUGCAACUGGAUCCUGGACUUUCUGAUGAGCCGACCCUAGGUGGUGAGGGUAGGCAACCUCACCUCCGCCACGCUGACCCUCAACACGGGGCCUCACAGGGGUGUGUGCUUAGCCCCCUCCUGGAGACCAAGCAUGACUCCAAAACUAUUAUCAACUUUGCUGAUGACGGUGGUAGGCCUGAUCACCGGCAACGAUGAGACAGCCUAUACGGAGGAGGUCAGUGACCUGGCUGUGUGGUGCCAGAACAGCAACCUCUUCUUCAAUGUCAGACCAAGGAGCUGAUCGUGGACUACAGGAAUGGCGGGGCGAGCAUGCCCCAUCCACAUCAACGGGUCUGCAGUGGAGCAGGUCGAGAGCUUCAAGUUCCUUUGUCUAAAUCGCUAAAAACUUAAAAUGGUCCACUCACACUCGCACAGUAGUACAAACCCACUCACAUACAACCACCAUAUAUGCCGCUGCUACUAUAUAUAUAUCCUGAUGCUGGUUAUAUAUCCUGAUGCUGUUUAUUAUAUAUCCUGAUUCUGGUUAUUAUAUAUCCUGAUGCUGGUUAUUAUAUAUCUUGAUUCUGGUUAUUAUAUAUCCUGAUGCUGGUUAUUAUAUAUCUUGAUUCUGGUUAUUAUAUAUCCUGAUGCUGGUUAUCAUAUAUCCUGAUGCUGGUUAUUAUAUAUCCUGAUGCUGUUUAUUAUAUAUACUGAUGCUGUUUAUUAUAUAUCCUGAUGCUGGUUAUUAUAUAUCCUGAUUCUGGUUAUUAUAUAUCCUGAUGCUGGUUAUUAUAUAUCCUGAUGCCUAGUCACCUUAACACUAUCCAUAUCUACCUCUAUCACUCCAGUCUCCCUGCACAUUGUAUGGUACUGGAACUGACCCUGUAUAUAGCUUACUUACUUUAUUGUGUUCUUAUUUUUAUUUGUUGUGAGUUAUUGUGCUACAUUGUUAUUUUAAAUUGGUUUUAUUUAACUUUUAUUGAUUACUGUAUUGCUGGGUUUAACACUUGCAAGAAAUGCGUUUCACUGUACUUGUGCACGUGACAUUAAAGCGUGAAACUUGAAGCAAACCACCUUUAAUUAAUACAGUAAGCGAAACACGUUUUUCUUAUUGCCGAACUGUACCAUUGAUGGCCACUAGAUGGCAAUGGAGCGUCACAUAAAAUGGAUGGGCCUUUUUUUUCACUCUGUUGAUCCUGUGUAGACUGGCCUAGUAGGCGCCACCCUGUGGAACAUUACUGUGGGAGAUAUGAAACAAGUAGGUUGAAUCUGUAUAUCAGAUAUUCUUGCUUCAGUAAUGCUAUUUAAAGUGUACCUGGUAUUUUCCAUUUGCUUUAAACCCAACAUUUGACAAACACACCCACAAACAGACACCUGUGGGGUUGGAAGAUCAAAUGGGGUGCAGGAGAU